rnacentral:rRNA from 1 species
UCCCGUUGAUCCUGCGGGAGGUUGCUGCUAUCGGAAUCCGACUUAGGCAUGCAAGUCGAAUGGCAACAUUGGCAGACUGCUGAGUAACACGUCGAUAAUCUGCCCUAUACUCCGGAAUAAUCUUGAGAAAUUGAGUGUAAUACCGGAUAGGAAACUUGUACUGGGAUGUCUUGUUUCCCAAAGCUUCGGCGGUAUAGGAUGAGUCGGCGGCGGAUUAGGUUGUUGGCGAGGUAAUUGCUCACCAAGCCGAAGAUCCGUAGGGGCCCUGAGAGGGGGAGCCCCCAGAAGGACACUGAGACACUGGUCCUAGCCUUACGGGGUGCAGCAGCUACGAAACCUUUACAAUGCACGCAAGUGUGAUAAGGGGAUUCCGAGUGCUCAUGCAUUGCAUGGGCUUUUGUCAAAGGUAAAUACUUUGGCGAAUAAGGGGUGGGUAAGACGGGUGCCAGCCGCCGCGGUAACACCUGCGCCCCAAGUGGGAACCAGUUUUAUUGGGUCUAAAGCGUCCGUAGCCGGGUAAGUAAAUUUCCUGUGAAAUCGGUUAGCUCAACUAAUCGGCGUGCAGGGAACACUACAUAUCUUGGGACUGGGAGAGGCUAGAAGUAUUCUGGGGGUAGCGGUAAAAUGUUAUAAUCCUCAGAGGACUACCUACGGCGAAGGCAUCUAGCCAGAACAGAUCCGACGGUCAGGGACGAAAGCUAGGGGAGCAAUCCGGAUUAGAUACCCGAGUAGUCCUAGCUGUAAACGCUGUGAGCAAGGUGUUGCGCAAUCUACAGGAUUGCGCAGUGUCGAAACGAAGGUGAUAAGCUCACCACCUGGGAAGUACGGUCGCAAGACUGAAACUUAAAGGAAUUGGCGGGGGAGCACCACAACGGGUGCGGCGUGCGGUUUAAUCUAAUUCAACGCAGAGAAUCUCACCAGCAGCGACUGCAGAAUGAAAGUCAGUCCAAAGGGCUUACUUGACGCGCAGAGAGGUGGUGCAUGGCCAUCGGCAGCUCGUGCUGUAAGGUGUCCUCUUAAGUGAGGUAACGAGCGAGACCUGUGCCGUUAAUUGCUAGUGGGUCCAUCAGGACGACCGAGCACAUUAACGGGACUGCUCUGGAAACAGAGAGGAAGGUGCAGGCUACGGUAGGUCUGUAUGCCCCGAAUCUGCUGGGCUACACGCGCGCAACAAUGGUUGGGACAAUGGGAUACUACUCCGAAAGGAGACGUUAACCCUCGAAACCCAAUCUUAGUCUAGAUCGAGGUUUGCAACUCAGCCUCGUGACACCGGAAUCCGUAGUAAUCGGAAGUUAUCAUCUUCCGGUGAAUAUGUCCCUGCUCCUUGCACACACCGCCCGUCAAACCAACCGAGCAGGUUCUGGGUGAAAUGCAGUUUGAUUGAUUGUAUUGAAUCUAGGAUCAGUGAGGUGGGUUAAGUCGUCACAAGGUA